CUAGAUUCGUUUCCUUUCUCCCAAGCAUCACGUGGUGGUUAUUUCUUUAGCUCUACUGUGUCUCUUGGCACUCAUUACAAUGCACAAUCAGAAACAUGCGGGUCUGCAUUGAGAUGGGAAACUGAUGCACAGUAUCUAGCCUAGCAUGACUAGCAAAAGCAUCCACCCAUUCAAACGUGCCCCCUCAUAUUUUUAGGCCAAGUGUCAAAGCCGUUCUCCUCCAUGUCAUGAAUUAUUUCACCUAGGGCACGGAGUGAUCCAGAACUGCCAUUAGCGGCCCCUCAGAAAAGCAGAAACGGGAUCACGACGCCCUUGUCUAGGAUAUUUCAGGCUUUAUGAAAAAUGCACGCCACUGUGGGGGAGACCAAUAUAGAUGUUUCACACGAAUAGGUUUUCGUAAUGUGAUCAUGGCUUUAAUCCCUUCAUCGGCGCUGCCUUUUAUCGGCUCAAAGUGUAGGCGGAGUCAUACAUAUGGAUAACGCAGCGUGACCAGGCUGUUAACAGGCCGUUCCCAGCACGCCGUGUGGGAAAGAGAUCUCACAGGGUGCGUGAGAUCAGUGCGGUAAGUCUCUUGCCAUCAAAAAGGACACCACAUCUGGGAUCUACAAGUUAAACCGGAGUUGUUAACCUUCAAAUUCCUGUAAUCUGGCGUAAGCGUGGUUCUGGCUUUUCCAACAGCUGUAGUCCAGCCCCAAACAUUCUCUAAUUUAGCUGCAUCUGAAUGUGAAUUCUUCCAAAAGUUCAUCAUUAACCCAGAACUGUUCUAAACUUAGACCUUGACUGAUUCUCGGGGGUAAUGAUGAUAAUGCUAAGAGCUCUCCAGAUAGCAGACACAAGCUUGGGUCAACAUCAUGGCUUUGGAAUGUGCAAUGGAAAAUGCACCCUAUAGUUGUCUUGUAAACCAAAGCUUCUGGAACCAGAAGGGAAGAGAGGUUGAGGUGAGUGUGAACUUCCACAAGUGUCCAAGUGUAGAAAAACAUCAGGGUUGUACGAUCCCAGUUUUAUUUGUCCGUGGCCAUAUUGUGUGGCAUAUUGCACUACAUUGUGGUUUAUUUACACCUCAUUUUUUUCUGACACGUCCCAACCCAUCUUACUCAUGAUUGUAUUCUUUGCCUUUAUCUAAUCAUUCCCUUUUCUAUUUUAACACAAAGGCAUUUGUGCAGAAUGCAUCUCCCCGCUGUGAGCCAAAUCAAAAUCUACUUUAAUGGAUGGAGGAAGAAACCCAAUACACUUUAGUCAAACAUAUAAGUUUGAUUGAUGAAAGUACAGCUCUCGCUCAAGUUCUUCUACCACUCCUGACACAUGUGGUGGUUCAAGUUAAGAAACCUUUCCACGGCUUUGUGGAUUACAUAAGGGGUACUGACCAGACAUGGCCGAGAUUAUCCUUCAUGCACUCCUGGUGGCAGUCCUGUGACUUGAGCAGACUCCAGGGGUCCUGGUUGUUUCUAAUCAUCUUUUAUGAGACAAAAUGAUCUCAUCAUCACUAUCUUUUUACGAGCCUGCAAUCCAGCUGUUGUUUGAGUUAAUCAUGAUGAUAUGUUCUGUGGUCAUUGAUGACAAUGUAGUCAACAAUGCUGGUCGCAUAAAGUUUGUUUUCUGUGCGAGAGUGGCCUUAGGGUGUAGGGAUUGCCCUCGUCAUCACACAUGGAUGAGGCUGGAGGCACGACCAGACCUGCAAAAACAAGUGCAAGUUGCCCUUUUUCGUAUGGCCGAUUUAAGCAGAUCCAUAUGUU